rnacentral:rRNA from 1 species
CAGACCGCCAGCUAAGGUCCCAAAGUCAUGGUUAAGUGGGAAACGAAGUGGGAAGGCUCAGACAGCCAGGAUGUUGGCUUAGAAGCAGCCAUCAUUUAAAGAAAGCGUAAUAGCUCACUGGUCGAGUCGGCCCGCGCGGAAGAUGUAACGGGGCUAAACCAUGCACCGAAGCUGCGGCAGCGACACUAUGUGUUGUUGGGUAGGGGAGCGUUCUGUAAGCCUGCGAAGGUGUACUGUGAGGUAUGCUGGAGGUAUCAGAAGUGCGAAUGCUGACAUAAGUAACGAUAAUGCGGGUGAAAAACCCGCACGCCGGAAGACCAAGGGUUCCUGUCCAACGUUAAUCGGGGCAGGGUGAGUCGACCCCUAAGGCGAGGCUGAAAAGCGUAGUCGAUGGGAAACGGGUUAAUAUUCCCGUACUGGUGGUAACUGCGAUGGGGGAACGGAGAAGGCUAGGUUGUCCGGGCGACGGUCGUCCCGGUUCAAGCAUGUAGGCAGAGUGAUUAGGCAAAUCCGGUCACUUAAUGCUGAGGUGUGAUGACGAGCCACUAAGGUGGUGAAGCAAUUGAUGCCCUGCUUCCAGGAAAAGCCUCUAAGCUUCAGGUUACCAACAAUCGUACCCCAAACCGACACAGGUGGUCAGGUAGAGAAUACUCAGGCGCUUGAGAGAACUCGGGUGAAGGAACUAGGCAAAAUGGUGCCGUAACUUCGGGAGAAGGCACGCUGGCGGUAAGUGAAGUCCCUUGCGGACGGAGCCGAAGCCAGUCGAAGAUACCAGCUGGCUGCAACUGUUUAUUAAAAACACAGCACUGUGCAAACACGAAAGUGGACGUAUACGGUGUGACGCCUGCCCGGUGCUGGAAGGUUAAUUGAUGGGGUUAUCCGUAAGGAGAAGCUCUUGAUCGAAGCCCCAGUAAACGGCGGCCGUAACUAUAACGGUCCUAAGGUAGCGAAAUUCCUUGUCGGGUAAGUUCCGACCUGCACGAAUGGCGUAAUGAUGGCCAGGCUGUCUCCACCCGAGACUCAGUGAAAUUGAACUCGCUGUGAAGAUGCAGUGUACCCGCGGCAAGACGGAAAGACCCCGUGAACCUUUACUAUAGCUUGACACUGAACAUUGAGCCUUGAUGUGUAGGAUAGGUGGGAGACUUAGAAGUGUGGACGCCAGUCUGCAUGGAGUCAACCUUGAAAUACCACCCUUUAACGUUUGAUGUUCUAACCUAGGUCCAUAAUCUGGAUCGGGGACCGUGUCUGGUGGGUAGUUUGACUGGGGCGGUCUCCUCCUAAAGAGUAACGGAGGAGCACGAAGGUUGGCUAAGCAUGGUCGGACAUCAUGCGGUUAGUGCAAAGGCAUAAGCCAGCUUGACUGUGAGAGUGACGGCUCGAGCAGGUACGAAAGUAGGUCUUAGUGAUCCGGUGGUUCUGAAUGGAAGGGCCAUCGCUCAACGGAUAAAAGGUACUCCGGGGAUAACAGGCUGAUACCGCCCAAGAGUUCAUAUCGACGGCGGUGUUUGGCACCUCGAUGUCGGCUCAUCACAUCCUGGGGCUGAAGUAGGUCCCAAGGGUAUGGCUGUUCGCCAUUUAAAGUGGUACGCGAGCUGGGUUUAGAACGUCGUGAGACAGUUCGGUCCCUAUCUGCCGUGGGCGUUGGAAGAUUGAGAGGGGUUGCUCCUAGUACGAGAGGACCGGAGUGAACGCACCACUGGUGUUCGGGUUGUCAUGCCAAUGGCAUUGCCCGGUAGCUAAGUGCGGAAGAGAUAACCGCUGAAAGCAUCUAAGCGGGAAACUUGCCUCGAGAUGAGUCUUCCCUGUCACCUUGAGUGACCUAAAGGAACGUUUAAGACUAAGACGUUGAUAGGCUGGGUGUGUAAGCGUAGCGAUACGUUGAGCUAACCAGUACUAAUGAACCGUGAGGCUUAACCUG